CCUACUCUCUCUCUCUCUCUCUCUCAACUCUGAAACUUUUCCAUCGCCCACGAUGAUUUUCAUUUUACAAUCGCCGAACCUUGUCCCCAGUUUCACAUAGCUAGUCAGUGGUGAAUCUUCUCCAAUUUUUGCAAGAAUCGUAGCGAAGUGGUAGCUAUUGACGAUGAGUUCCUCUUCACACCAAUAGAAAAUUCCAGGGGAAUAGUGCGUUUUGGCCUAGGUAAGUAGCACCAAAUAUAUAUCAGUUGUCCUCGACAAAUUCGAUGCUCAGCAGAAGACUAUGUUCAAGGAAAGCUGUCUAGGACAUGUCGCGAAAUUGUUGGAGCUCAAAUUAUCUAGGCAAUUAGUGCAUGAAAUGGUCAAUAGAUCAGUCAUUUGUGAAAAAUGUUUCGAGGCCUAUUUCAAGAUGAAUGAACGGUUUGAAACAUUUGGAAUAUCGGAGCUCGCACUAAUCACCGGCUUGAAAUGUGGUGAAUUACCUAGAAGAUCUAUAUCUGACAGCGUCGUAGAGAAAACCCAGUUACGGGACAAAAUGUUUACAAAUAGAGAACGGAUAACUUGUAGCGACGUGGAGAAGGUUUUCCUAAAUGUGGCAACCCUAAUGAUUGUUACAAGCUUGGGUUGGCACUAAUCAUUAAAAGGGUUUUCAAUUCGAGAGACCGAAAUGUGGAGAUUCAUACUGAAACUCUCUAUUGUGGACGACUCAGAUUUCUUCAAUGCCUAUCCAUGGGAACUGUGUGUUCUAAACUUCUCAUCAAAUCACUACUCCGUGGAUGGGGGAGAAAGGUAGAAUUGGCAAAGUUUAACGAUUGUGAUAGGAUGUCCUAUACAGUGUAUGAAUUCCCUCUUGCUAUUCAGUUGUGGGUGCAUGAGGCAAUCCCGGAGUUGGGAGCUCGAUUCUCAAACAAGUUGCACUUGUGGGCAUUACUGCGGCCUACCACUGAAGAAGAAUUGCAGCCAUACUUUGCAAAUUUACUUCAAUUGGAUGUUGUUGUUGUUCUCAUUCUCGACAAUCUCGUAGUUCAAUCAACUAAAAUAUAACAUUGCCCAACAUCUGGCGAACUGAUACGCAAUGAAGAUAAUAGCAACUGAUCUAACAAAUCCAGGAGAGAUAUAUGAAGCAUUUCCAAAGAUUGGAUAAAAAUUUGGACGCCGCAGAUACAAAACACCGUAGAGUCCACGAAUAUACAAGUGAAGGCCUAAUAAAAUACUCGAGGAAUCUAAUGUUAAGGAAUUUUGGAAUACACAAGAGAUUCAAGUAAUUACAGUGUUGUAGCCUACGGAAGAAGAAUUACAAACAUAGUGGUGCACAACUCAUUCACUACCAGUUGACAAUAAAUAUAGUAUAUUAGAUGCCAUUGUGAAUGGAUAAUUAGAUAAUGUAGCACAACAAAUCCCGGAUAACAUCCCUGUGAAAGAAACGACCAUUCUUGGUACAUCGAGAACUUCAACUGGAAUUGGACCUAGUUCUGCUUCUGAUGGCUCCAAUUAUAUAACUAAAGACCGAAUGGAAGAAGUGCUGGAAAUGUACAAGCAACAUAUAAUAUUAGAUGUAUCCGAUCUGUGUGACAACUUGAAGGCAAAAAUUAUUGAAGAAUCAAGAGCUCAUUACCAUGCAAUCCUUGAAAACCAAAAAUAGCUCUUUGAACAACAUAACAAAUGGAAACAAGAUUACAUGCGGUCUGGUAUGCAUUCUUACAUGGAUAGUUCACUACUAAGUUUGUUUAACACAUAUAAUGCUAAGGAAUCACAAAAAAGAAGAAGCCCAUUAUCAGGUAAUUCUUCAGAGGCAAGAAGAAUUAUUCUAACAGCAACAAAAAUGGCAACAAGAUCAUUACCAGGACGUGCAGUCUUAUGUUGAUACUAGUUUAAGUUUUGUGAAAUCUUAUGUUGACGAAAAAAUGAGAAUUUGGAAUCCAAAAUGGAAGCCAUUAUAGGUUCUGUACAGCAAAAUAUUCCUAUCCAUGCAAGUCCAAUUCUUAGUGAUCAAUAAUAGGAGAUAUCAACGUCUCAACAAAUUGAAAGUUUUGAAAGGUUAAGAAGAGAAAAGGAAAAGAAGGGAAAAUACACAGUCUUCAUCAUCACAGGUCGUCCCUUAGCAAACUAUCUCAUGGACAAAUACAAAAAAAUAAGAGAUUGGAAAUUGAGGAAUCAAUCUGGGUAACAAAUUGAAUUCUACCUUACUAGUCCG